GCAUGCAGCUCCCUCAGCAUCCUGGCUGGGCUCUGGACCAGAGAGGAGAAGAGCAAGUCCACGACUCCCUGACUGUCGUCCACUGGGGUGCAGCUGCAGGUUUUAAGGGCGACAGGGGGACAGAGUCCUUUACAGCAACAACACCUGGUGGGAGAACAAGACAAAAGAAGCACGUUUGACAUCAAACAGGAUGCUACACGCCGUGAUGUCAAUGAUCACAAUUUAACAGCGACUUUGUUCUAUCACUGCUAUUUAAAAAAUAUGAAACAUAUCAAGUAGAAAAUCUAUUUCAUUUGAUCUGAGCUGACCUUUAUCCAUCAAUGAUUUAUUUCUAGUAUGAGUGUAUAGUUCCUGUAUGAAUAUGUCACAAACACAAAACAGUUGUUUUCUACGUAAUUGGGCCAGUGUCACUCGCCGCUGUAGAUUUCUAUGCUGCAGUUGAACACUUGAUCCACAUGGUGGCAUUCCCAUAUUUGUUAUACUGACACAAAAUAAAAAAAUAAAAAAAUA